ACCACUCUGAAGCUCGUCCUCUUCAGAGAUCAAGCCGCUCCACGAGACCGACGUUUCGAAGUACGCAAACCACGGAAAGGAUGACGCCAAUGGCACGCUCUCUUCUGACAGCCCUGACCGUCUGCUGUUUUGCUGCACUCUUUGUUCUUCCCAUCGAAGGAUUCGCCGUUGGUGUUUCUUGCCGUUGCUUGAGAACGCCCUCGACCUUCAUCCACCCACGCCAGUUCAAGCGCCUGGAGAUCAUUCCGCUGGGCGCGCACUGUCGGCAAACCGAGAUACUAAUCACAUUGAAAAAUGAUAGGACUGUUUGUGCAAACCCGAAUGCAAAAUGGAUCAAAAACGUCAUCGAAAGAGUGAUACCAAAGGACAACCAGAAAGUACAGGAAUAAGAAACGCACCUGAAAAUCAUCACGCCCACAAAUACAUCCUGAAGAAAGUAACAAUUUAUGUACAAUUUGUGAAAUCUCUCUUGUAUGUAACAAAAAUAUUAAAUACAUUGGAUAUUCUCACUUAGUUAUACAAUGCAUUACAAAACAACUUUGAACUCAUUGCUGAAUGUAAUAACUCCAAUAAAAUGUGACUUUUUAAAAAUGCA